rnacentral:tRNA from 1 species
GGGGCUGUGAUCUAGCCUGGUAUGAUACGCGGCUGGGGGCCGCGUUAUCGUCGGUUCAAAUCCGACCAGCCCCG